CAUGUUUAAGGUAGUAAGAAGUCAUUUCCUUAUUCAUACAAUGAACUAUCUAAUAAAGAUUAUGGUUGUUUUUAAUAUAAAUGAUAAUGUGUUUAUUUGUGCCGUCAGAUAUCAUCGCUUCGUCGAAUAAGAUAGAUAUCAAGAUGUACUUUCUUUACCUUACUACUAUGGUCGGAGUUGUAGCUGCGAUACCAGCUAUUACAAUGCCUGCUCAGGAAAUUAGGUCUUCGACUGCAGGUCAAGACGCGCCUCAAUCACCACCACUAGAAGUCGCAUUACGAGUUGUCAAUGAAGAUAUUGAAAUAAAAAAUGUUGCAUUAAAAAAAGCCGAAGAAUCAUCAGGUGUACAGAAAUCUGAACCAGACACUGGUUCAGUACUUCUUGAGAAAAAGAACGAUACCAGUGUAUUAUUUGGAGAACCUCCACGGGAAAGUGAUCUUCGUGGGUUGUCAGGAUUUUGGUCAACUAUAACAUCUCUAUUGCCUUCGAUGCCUUUUAGUAUCCCACUCACAUCACUGCCAGCAUUACCAAUAUCAGUACCUUUAACCAAUAUGAAUGUUAUAUAGCCUGCAAUAAUUAGUCAACCAUGAAAGUUAUUUGAAAUAUAAUAAAGUCUAAGUCGUAUUGUA